UACGUAGGGGGCAAGCGUUGUCCGGAAUUAUUGGGCGUAAAGGGCGCGUAGGCGGUUAUUUAAGUCUGAUGUGAAAGUGCGGGGCUUAACUCCGUAAAGCAUUGGAAACUGGGUAACUUGAGGACAGGAGAGGAAAGUGGAAUUCCACGUGUAGCGGUGAAAUGCGUAGAUAUGUGGAGGAACACCAGUGGCGAAGGCGACUUUCUGGACUGUAACUGACGCUGAGGCGCGAAAGCGUGGGGAUCAAACAGGAUUAGAUACCCUGGUAGUCCCUGAGCGGG
rnacentral:rRNA from 1 species